rnacentral:rRNA from 1 species
UUAAGGUGCGGAGCCGUAGCGAAAGCGAGUUUUAACUGAGCGUUCAGUUACUUGACGUAGACCCGAAACCGGGCGACCUACCCAUGAGCAGGAUGAAGCGAAAGUAAAAUUUCGUGGAGGUCCGAACCCACGAGCGUUGAAAAGCUCGGGGAUGACUUGUGGGUAGCGGUGAAAUUCCAAUCGAGCCCGGAGAUAGCUGGUUCUCCCCGAAAUAGCUUUAGGGCUAGCCUCAAGGUGAGAGAUACGGAGGUAGAGCACUGAAUGUCCUAGGGGGUAUUGCACCUACCGAAGACUAUCAAACUCCGAAUGCCGUCAUCUUAUACUUGGGAGUCAGACUGUGGGUGAUAAGAUUCAUAGUCGAAAGGGCAACAGCCCAGAUCGUCAGCUAAGGUCCCUAAAUGUAAGUUAAGUGGUAAAGGAUGUGGGAUUGCACAGACAACCAGGAUGUUGGCUUAGAAGCAGCCACUCAUUCAAAGAGUGCGUAAUAGCUCACUGGUCGAGUGAUCCUGCGCCGAAGAUUUCCGGGGCUAAAACUU